rnacentral:misc_RNA from 1 species
UUUCCGUAGGUGAACCUGCGGAAGGAUCAUUAUUGUAUAACCGAGGUGCGAGGGCUGUCGCUGACCCGAAACGUCGUGCACGCCCGAGUGCCCUCACACACAUCCAUCUCACCCCUAUGUGCACCACCGCGUGGAUCCCCCUUUGGCUUGUUCGGAGGGGGGCUUACGUUUUCACACAAACUUUGUAUGCAGUGUAGAAUGUAUUGUUUGUUUUUGCGAUCACGCAAUCAAUACAACUUUCAACAACGGAUCUCUUGGCUCUC